GUGGGGAAUAUUGUGCAAUGGGCGCAAGCCUGACACAGCCAUGCCGCGUGUGUGAAGAAGGCCUUCGGGUUGUAAAGCACUUUCAGCGGGGAGGAAGAAGCCGGGGUGAAUAGCCCGAGGUGGAGGACGUUACCCGCAGAAGAAGGACCGGCUAACUCCGUGCCAGCAGCCGCGGUAAUACGGAGGGUCCGAACGUUAAUCGGAAUUACUGGGCGUAAAGCGCGCGUAGGUGGUUUUCUAAGUUGGAUGUGAAAGCCCAGGGCUUAACCUUGGAACGGCAUUCAAAACUGGGAGACUGGAGUACGAUAGAGGGGGGUAGAAUUCAGAGUGUAGCGGUGAAAUGCGUAGAUAUUCUGAGGAAUACCAGUGGCGAAGGCGGCCCCCUGGAUUGAUACUGACACUGAGGUGCGAAAGCGUGGGGAGCAAACAGGAUUAGAAACCCCAGUAGUCC
rnacentral:rRNA from 1 species